rnacentral:tRNA from 1 species
GCAUUGGUGGUUCAGUGGUAGACUUCUCGCCUUCCAUGUGAGAGACCCCGGUUCAAUUCCUGGCCAGUGUA